GGGUUGUGAGGUUAAGCGACUAAGCGUACACGGUGGAUGCCCUGGCAGUCAGAGGCGAUGAAGGGCGUGCUAAUCUGCGAUAAGCGCCGGUAAGGUGAUAUGAACCGUUAUAACCGGCGAUACCCGAAUGGGGAAACCCAGUGUGAUUCGUCACACUAUCAUUAACUGAAUCCAUAGGUUAAUGAGGCGAACCGGGGGAACUGAAACAUCUAAGUACCCCGAGGAAAAGAAAUCAACCGAGAUUCCCCCAGUAGCGGCGAGCGAACGGGGAGGAGCCCAGAGCCUGAAUCAGCAUGUGUGUUAGUGGAAGCGUCUGGAAAGGCGCGCGAUACAGGGUGACAGCCCCGUACACAAAAGCGCAUGUGCUGUGAGCUCGAUGAGUAGGGCGGGACACGUGGUAUCCUGUCUGAAUAUGGGGGGACCAUCCUCCAAGGCUAAAUACUCCUGACUGACCGAUAGUGAACCAGUACCGUGAGGGAAAGGCGAAAAGAACCCCGGCGAGGGGAGUGAAAAAGAACCUGAAACCGUGUACGUACAAGCAGUGGGAGCACCCUUCGGGGUGUGACUGCGUACCUUUUGUAUAAUGGGUCAGCGACUUAUAUUCUGUAGCAAGGUUAACCGUAUAGGGGAGCCGGAGGGAAACCGAGUCUUAAUUGGGCGUUAAGUUGCAGGGUAUAGACCCGAAACCCGGUGAUCUAGCCAUGGGCAGGUUGAAGGUUGGGUAACACUAACUGGAGGACCGAACCGACUAAUGUUGAAAAAUUAGCGGAUGACCUGUGGCUGGGGGUGAAAGGCCAAUCAAACCGGGAGAUAGCUGGUUCUCCCCGAAAGCUAUUUAGGUAGCGCCUCGUGAAUUCAUCUCCGGGGGUAGAGCACUGUUUCGGCUAGGGGGCCAUCCCGGCUUACCAACCCGAUGCAAACUGCGAAUACCGGAGAAUGUUAUCACGGGAGACACACGGCGGGUGCUAACGUCCGUCGUGAAGAGGGAAACAACCCAGACCGCCAGCUAAGGUCCCAAAGUCAUGGUUAAGUGGGAAACGAUGUGGGAAGGCCCAGACAGCCAGGAUGUUGGCUUAGAAGCAGCCAUCAUUUAAAGAAAGCGUAAUAGCUCACUGGUCGAGUCGGCCUGCGCGGAAGAUGUAACGGGGCUAAACCAUGCACCGAAGCUGCGGCAGCGAACGUAUCACCCAAGACAACUUUACGGAGUUGACGAUUGACGGAGCGAAGCGACGUCAAAGCGUUCAUUAAAGUCGAGUUGGCUUAGGGAUACGUUCGUUGGGUAGGGGAGCGUUCUGUAAGCCUGUGAAGGUGUGUCGUGAGGCAUGCUGGAGGUAUCAGAAGUGCGAAUGCUGACAUAAGUAACGAUAAAGCGGGUGAAAAGCCCGCUCGCCGGAAGACCAAGGGUUCCUGUCCAACGUUAAUCGGGGCAGGGUGAGUCGACCCCUAAGGCGAGGCCGAAAGGCGUAGUCGAUGGGAAACGGGUUAAUAUUCCCGUACUUGGUGUUACUGCGAAGGGGGGACGGAGAAGGCUAUGUUGGCCGGGCGACGGUUGUCCCGGUUUAAGCGUGUAGGUGUGUGUUCCAGGUAAAUCCGGUUCACUUUAACACUGAGGCGUGACGACGAGGCACUACGGUGCUGAAGCAACAAAUGCCCUGCUUCCAGGAAAAGCCUCUAAGCAUCAGGUAACACGAAAUCGUACCCCAAACCGACACAGGUGGUCAGGUAGAGAAUACCAAGGCGCUUGAGAGAACUCGGGUGAAGGAACUAGGCAAAAUGGUGCCGUAACUUCGGGAGAAGGCACGCUGACACGUAGGUGAAGUGAUUUACUCACGGAGCUGAAGUCAGUCGAAGAUACCAGCUGGCUGCAACUGUUUAUUAAAAACACAGCACUGUGCAAACACGAAAGUGGACGUAUACGGUGUGACGCCUGCCCGGUGCCGGAAGGUUAAUUGAUGGGGUCAGCGUAAGCGAAGCUCCUGAUCGAAGCCCCGGUAAACGGCGGCCGUAACUAUAACGGUCCUAAGGUAGCGAAAUUCCUUGUCGGGUAAGUUCCGACCUGCACGAAUGGCGUAAUGAUGGCCGGGCUGUCUCCACCCGAGACUCAGUGAAAUUGAACUCGCUGUGAAGAUGCAGUGUACCCGCGGCAAGACGGAAAGACCCCGUGAACCUUUACUAUAGCUUGACACUGAACAUUGAGCCUUGAUGUGUAGGAUAGGUGGGAGGCUUUGAAGUGUGGACGCCAGUCUGCAUGGAGCCGACCUUGAAAUACCACCCUUUAAUGUUUGAUGUUCUAACGUGGACCCGUAAUCCGGGUUGCGGACAGUGUCUGGUGGGUAGUUUGACUGGGGCGGUCUCCUCCUAAAGAGUAACGGAGGAGCACGAAGGUUGGCUAAUCCUGGUCGGACAUCAGGAGGUUAGUGCAAUGGCAUAAGCCAGCUUGACUGCGAGCGUGACGGCGCGAGCAGGUGCGAAAGCAGGUCAUAGUGAUCCGGUGGUUCUGAAUGGAAGGGCCAUCGCUCAACGGAUAAAAGGUACUCCGGGGAUAACAGGCUGAUACCGCCCAAGAGUUCAUAUCGACGGCGGUGUUUGGCACCUCGAUGUCGGCUCAUCACAUCCUGGGGCUGAAGUAGGUCCCAAGGGUAUGGCUGUUCGCCAUUUAAAGUGGUACGCGAGCUGGGUUUAGAACGUCGUGAGACAGUUCGGUCCCUAUCUGCCGUGGGCGCUGGAGAACUGAGGGGGGCUGCUCCUAGUACGAGAGGACCGGAGUGGACGCAUCACUGGUGUUCGGGUUGUCAUGCCAAUGGCACUGCCCGGUAGCUAAAUGCGGAAGAGAUAAGUGCUGAAAGCAUCUAAGCACGAAACUUGCCCCGAGAUGAGUUCUCCCUGAGACUUAGAGUCUCCUGAAGGAACGUUGAAGACGACGACGUUGAUAGGCCGGGUGUGUAAGCGCAGCGAUGCGUUGAGCUAACCGGUACUAAUGAACCGUGAGGCUUAACCUUACAACGCCGAAG
rnacentral:rRNA from 1 species